rnacentral:rRNA from 1 species
CCUACGGGAGGCAGCAGUGAGGAAUAUUGGUCAAUGGCCGGAAGGCUGAACCAGCCAAGCCGCGUGAAGGACGAAGGUGCCAAGCAUUGUAAACUUCUUUUGUCAAGGGACAAACUCAGGCUCGAGAGCCUGACCGAGGGUACUUGAAGAAAAAGCCUCGGCUAACUCCGUGCCAGCAGCCGCGGUAAUACGGAGGAUGCGCGCGUUAUCCGGAUUUAUUGGGUUUAAGGGGUGCGUAGGGGGACUGUUAAGUCAGCGGGAAAAGCCCGGGGCUCAACCCCGGCGAGCCGUUGAAACUGGCUGGAUUGAGAUGUCGAGAGGUAUGCGGAAUGCGCAGUGUAGCGGUGAAAUGCUUAGAUAUUGCGCAGAACUCCGAUUGCGAAGGCAGCAUACCGGCGGCGAUCUGACGCUGAGGCACGAAAGCGUGGGUAUCGAACAGGAUUAGAUACCCUAGUAGUC